rnacentral:lncRNA from 1 species
GGGGCCGGGCUGAACCAUGGCGGGCGGCGGCAUGGGGGCGGUGGGGCUCCGCGGGCAGCCUGGUUGCGCUGCACCCGGACGGGGCCGAGGGGACCUGAAAGCUGCGGCAGAGCCUGACCGCGCCGUUCUCCAGAAGAGCCCCGGCCGCGGCUGAGUCGCGCUCCGGGUGUGGACGGAGCCGGAGCCUCCCCGGGGCUCGGUGAGGACACAGGGCCCAAGCCCCGGACCUUCAAGUCUUGACCGAGCGCAUCCCCGGCCCUUCUGCGCCCACACCUGAGUUUUUGUCUGUAGGAGUUUCCGCAGUUUGCUAAGAAUCGACAUCUAGAGGAGUACUCACCACUUAAUUGAUGAUCAAUACACGUUCCUUGAAAGAACCGAUAGCAUGCGAUCGAUACAGAGCAUCUGCACUGGGAUUGUCCGCCCCGCCUGUCAGGGAGGCCUCGGGGGCUAAUGGAGCUGAGGACCUUGCACUUGCUGAAUUAGCUGGGACCAUCCAGAUGGAUAAACUGGCUCAUCUGAUCUUGUGGCCCGCACUCAGCAACCGGCUCAGGCCAAGAGGACAGCUUUGAUCCAUACGAUUUCAUCUCUGAUCUGACCCCUCAGUGCUCCCAGCUUACUGGCCCCCUACCUACCAAAUUAUCCUUAAAAACUCUGAACUCCAGGGCUGGGCACGGUGGCUCACACCUGUAAUCCCAGGACUCUGGGAG